UUUAAAUCUUAAUGCAGGCAAGGUUGGUCGUAGAUCAGGUUGAAUCAGUCUUUUUCGCCACAUCGCGUAUAAGGGGAAUCGAACCCCCUCUGCUGCUGGCGGGCGGAUGGAGAAUGUCCUACUUCGAUCCAGCAACUUUACUUGUUAGGUUUUGGCUUGCCCCUUUCAACUUUUUAGUAAGAUAGCCCUCUGAAGAUCUACGAGCAACCUGAUUUACAAUCAGCCUGCUUAAGCCUAAGAUUGUAGGGGAGCACCCUGAUUUACAAUCAACCUGAUCGUAGAGCACUUCUGAUCAAAGAUCAGCCUGAUCGUAGACCACCCUUCGCCUUUGAAUAAUAAUAAGGGCGUUAAGCCAAAGCUCCUUCCUUCAGCCGGUGCACAGGAGUGCACUUCCGUUUUCCCCUUACUAGUAAAGGGGGUGUAAUGAAUAGAAAUCUCUCGCCAGCAGUCUUCUUUUCCUAUCACUUCACUUCGUUCGAGAGAUCUGAUCUCCAUUGGACCUCACCGGGCCGGGCGAAGGGGAAGGAAGGGAUGGGUGGUCCGGGAACAGCAACGGGAGAGGGCUCGUAGCCCCCCCUCUCCCUCUUCCCCACACCUAUUUGUUCCCCGGGCCCCAGAGAGAUGCGGAACUCUUUUUUCUUUUUCUUAAAAAAGAUGAAUAGAUAGGGCCAUGAUACAUUCCGGAAUAUUGUAAAGGUAAAUAGACUCUUUUCGCCCUCUUUUCGAUGCGGACCUAUGUGAAUGUUUUGGAAUGGGGAUGUUCGCCUUUUGUAACAAGUAGACCCACGAUACGGACUAAUAGAUGUUUCUACUCUUACCCGUAAGUAAGAUCUAUUCAUAGUUGGUCAGUCCCCCACGGCACGGCUUCUCGCUUUUCAUGAAUGUGUCUCCCUCUCUGCUUAUGUGAGUUUGACCCGCCUUUGACUCUGCUUGCUUCUGACUCCCUAUGAGUUUUUACGACUUGACUUUUUCGGAGGGUCGGUGGGACAUGGGAGCCUCAGCUCAUGCAUCAGUUUACCGAAAUCACCUCCGCUAUCCCACUUCCUUCUAUUCAAAAGGCGAGCAGCCCUUAAACAAAAAGGCUCUAAGAGGGCUCUUCUUUAUAUAUUACAUAAGCCCUAAAGUAGGUAACCCCGAAAGCCGAACUCAGCAACUUUACUUGUUAGGUUUUGGCUUGCCCCUUUCAACUUUUUAGUAAGAUAGCCCUCUGAAGAUCUACGAGCAACCUGAUUUACAAUCAACCUGCUUAAGCCUAAGAUUGUAGGGGAGCACCCUGAUUUACAAUCAGCCUGAUCGUAGAGCAACCUUUCUAUGUUAUUAGUAAAGCGCUAACGCCCUAUCUAUAGUAAGGGGCCUUUUCAAUAAGGCUCGCGUAGGGGCCUUUUUUGGCUCCCUUCGCUCCACUAGCCUUGAUUGGCGGAUGGAAGUACCAAGGUGCGUCUGGUGGUAUCGUAUAUAAGAUCACUGCUGCAUUUAGGAGUG
rnacentral:lncRNA from 1 species